rnacentral:rRNA from 1 species
UGGGGAAUUUUGGACGAUGGGGGAAACCCUGAUCCAGCCAUCCCGCGUGUGCGAUGAAGGCCUUCGGGUUGUAAAGCACUUUUGGCAGGAAAGAAACGUCGCGGGUUAAUACCCCGCGAAACUGACGGUACCUGCAGAAUAAGCACCGGCUAACUACGUGCCAGCAGCCGCGGUAAUACGUAGGGUGCAAGCGUUAAUCGGAAUUACUGGGCGUAAAGCGUGCGCAGGCGGUUCGGAAAGAAAGAUGUGAAAUCCCAGAGCUUAACUUUGGAACUGCAUUUUUAACUACCGGGCUAGAGUGUGUCAGAGGGAGGUGGAAUUCCGCGUGUAGCAGUGAAAUGCGUAGAUAUGCGGAGGAACACCGAUGGCGCGA